AAAAAUAAAAAUAAAACUAAAGAUCAUAGACACGGUUUGAUGAUAUGUGAUUUACAUAAUCUGAACUACGUUAUUUUUUUUUUUUNAUCAUCAUUUUUCAAAGAAAUUGUAUUUCUUGAGGAUUAGCAACAACAAUUAAAAAAAAAAGUGUAACGUUUUUUAUCAUCAAUUUUAAAAAAUUUAGUAUUUCUUGAGGAUUAGCAACAACAAUUAAAAAAGAAAAGGAAAAAAAAAGUGUGACGGCCCAGAAAAGGCCCA
rnacentral:lncRNA from 1 species